rnacentral:snRNA from 1 species
AAAAAUAUGGAAUGCUUCACAAAUUUGCAUAUCAUCCUUGUGCAGGGGCCAUGCUAAUCUUCUCUGUAUCGUUCCAAUUUUAGCAUAUGUGCUGCCAAAGCAAGCAC